CGGCAGACUCAUCGCGAUCGAUAGUAGCCACACAAAUACGAUUUUCAGUAUCACCCUCCUUCGAGUCUUAUUCCGGCCAAAUUUCAUCGGAUACCUAAGGCUCAGAUACCGGUCCACGCUGAUCGUACACAGAUGCAUUAUGCUCGCUGUGCAAAACAACACGUCCAGACAUAUCCAAGCUAGACAGUAGACCGGGGCGAACGGAAACUCU